AGAGUUUGAUCCUGGCUCAGGACGAACGCUGGCGGCGUGCUUAACACAUGCAAGUCGAGCGGAAAGGCCACUUCGGUGGUACUCGAGCGGCGAACGGGUGAGUAACACGUGAGUAAUCUGCCCUUCACUUGGGGAUAACCUCCGGAAACGGUGGCUAAUACCCGAUACGACCGGUGCCUGCAUGGGUUGCUGGUGGAAAGUUUUUUCGGUGGAGGAUGUGCUCGCGGCCUAUCAGCUUGUUGGUGGGGUAAUGGCCUACCAAGGCUUCGACGGGUAGCCGGCCUGAGAGGGUGACCGGCCACACUGGGACUGAGACACGGCCCAGACUCCUACGGGAGGCAGCAGUGGGGAAUAUUGGACAAUGGGCGGAAGCCUGAUCCAGCAACGCCGCGUGAGGGAUGACGGCCUUCGGGUUGUAAACCUCUUUCAGCGGGGACGAAGCGCAAGUGACGGUACCCGCAGAAGAAGCACCGGCCAACUACGUGCCAGCCGCCGCGGUAAUAC
rnacentral:rRNA from 1 species